rnacentral:rRNA from 1 species
AGUGAACGCUGGCGGUAGGCCUAACACAUGCAAGUCGAACGGCAGCACAGUAAGAGCUUGCUCUUACGGGUGGCGAGUGGCGGACGGGUGAGGAAUACAUCGGAAUCUACUUUUUCGUGGGGGAUAACGUAGGGAAACUUACGCUACUACCGCAUACGACCUACGGGUGAAAGCAGGGGAUCUUCGGACCUUGCACGAUUGAAUGAGCCGAUGUCGGAUUAGCUAGUUGGCGGGGUAAAGGCCCACCAAGGCGACGAUCCGUAGCUGGUCUGAGAGGAUGAUCAGCCACACUGGAACUGAGACACGGUCCAGACUCCUACGGGAGGCAGCAGUGGGGAAUAUUGGACAAUGGGCGCAAGCUUGACCCAGCAAUACCGCGUGGGUGAAGAAGGCCUUCGGGUUGUAAAGCCCUUUUGUUGGGAAAGAAAAGCAGCAGGUUAAUACCCCGCUGUUCUGACGGUACCCAAAGAAUAAGCACCGGCUAACUUCGUG